UUACGGCCAUAUCACGUUGAAACACCAUUUCUCGUAUGAUCACCGAAGUUAAGCAACGUUGAUCCUGGUCAGUACCUAGAUGGGUAACCGUUUGGGAAUAUGAGGUGCU